AAGUCGUAACAAGGUUUCCGUAGGUGAACCUGCGGAAGGAUCAUUAUUGAAUGAACUUGAUUUGGUUGCUGCUGGUCUUUUCGAAGGCAUGUGCACACCUUGUCAUCUUUAUAUCUCCACCUGUGCACCUUUUGUAGACCUGGAUUCAACAUUCCGAGGCAACUCGGUCGUGAGGAAUUGCUUCACAGCUUUCCUUGUAAGUUUCCAGGCCUAUGUUUUUCAUAUACACCAUAAGAAUGUAACAGAAUGUCAUUAUUAGACUUCAUUGUCUUAUAAACUAUAUACAACUUUCAGCAACGGAUCUCUUGGCUCUCGCAUCGAUGAAGAACGCAGCGAAAUGCGAUAAGUAAUGUGAAUUGCAGAAUUCAGUGAAUCAUCGAAUCUUUGAACGCACCUUGCGCUCCUUGGUAUUCCGAGGAGCAUGCCUGUUUGAGUGUCAUUAAAUUCUCAACCUUUGUCAACUUUUUUGGGUGGGCAAUGGCUUGGAUGUGGGGGUUUUGCAGGNUUCUCUUUUGAAAUCAGCUCCCUGAAUACAUAGCUGGUUGCCUUGUGUGAACCUGUCUAUGGUGUGAUAAUAUCUACGCCGUGGACUAUUCGCCGUUUUUAGCACUGCUUAUAACCGUCUGUUCAUUCGGACA
rnacentral:rRNA from 1 species